CCCCGUCCUCCUCCUCCUCAAAAAAAAAAAAAAACAACCCACCAAAAAACAAAGCCCAGGAAUUCCAGCGAGCUGGGAAGGAGCGGAGCAGAGUUCACGCAGCUCAGCCGUGCCAGGGCUCGGCGCUAAUGAUUUAAUAAAAAUUAGCAUAAUUAACGAACAUCUGCACGAGGCAGCGCGGGGCAAUUUGGCAGCGCGAGACGAGGACUCGAGCGUUAUUGCCGCGAGUUUAAUGCGCUUUUAAUUCGUCCUGGCCCCGCGCGGGGGGAGGAAACGACGGCUGGGCUGCCGAGAGUUUGGGGCUUUUUUCCAUCCCUUCGGAGGAUGAAAAAUCCCGGGAUUUAUCCCGGCAUUCGUUCCAGCAGAAAUGGUUUUAAAAACUGGAAUUGCAGAAGUGGGAUUGGGGCUGUGGAGUGAGCGAGGAGCGGCUCAGCCCGCGGGGUUUUAGGGAUAAAUUCGGGUUUUUCCUUAAAUCCCACGGAAAUCUGGGGAAAGGGGAAAUUUUCCAGGAAAAUCCAGCUGGAGAGGCUUCCAGAACUCCGGGCUUGGAGCUGGAAUUUGGGAUUAAACCCCCCAAAAAAUCAGGGUGUGAAUUAAACCUUAAACUCUCGAGCAAACCCCAAACCAUGACCCAGAGGAUUUGGGGGGAUUUCUGUGGGAUUUGGGGCAUUUUUUUUGUGGGAUUUGGGGUGUUUUGUGUGGGGUUUGAGGUAUUUUUUUGUGGAAUCCGGGGCGUUUCUGUGGGUUUGGGGUGUUUCUGGGAUAUUUGGAAUAUUUCUUGUGGGAUUUGGGGUCAGAGCCCCAAAGGAAGGGCCUGACCCCAACCCCGGCCCCACAGGAGUACCCCGGGUACGGUUGGUGGGUCGGGGAGCUCGGCCAGGAAAUUGGGAUCGUCCCGAAGGAAUUCCUGAUGCCCGCCUUCGACCUGGAGCAGUGACGGGACAGGAUUCCUCCGCAGGACCCAGCGCUGGCACCGAGAGGAUUUAUCCCAGAAAUCCCCCCUGGCGCCAUUCCGUGGGGAAACUGAGGCACGCAUCCCGCUUUUCCCAAAAAUCCCAAAUCCCCUGGAGAUCUCCCACUCUCGUUAUCCCGCUUUUCCUGCGUCAAUCCCAAAUCCCCUGGAGAUCCCAAAUCCAGGUGUUCCCCCAUCCCAAAUCCAGGUGUUCCCCCAUCCCAAAUCCAGGUGUUCCCCCAUCCCAAAUCCAGGUGUUCCCCCAUCCCAAAUCCAGGUGUUCCCCCAUCC
rnacentral:lncRNA from 1 species